UACCUGAUGCAGCGACGCCUNGUGANAGGAUGACGGCCUUCGGGUUGUAAACCUCUUUCAGCAGGGAAGAAGCGAAAGUGACGGUACCUGCAGAAGAAGCGCCGGCUAACUACGUGCCAGCAGCCGCGGUAAUACGUAGGGCGCAAGCGUUGUCCGGAAUUAUUGGGCGUAAAGAGCUCGUAGGCGGCUUGUCACGUCGGAUGUGAAAGCCCGAGGCUUAACCUCGGGUCUGCAUUCNAUACGGGCUANCUAGAGUGUGGUAGGGGAGAUCGNAAUUCCUGGUGUAGCGGUGAANUGCGCANAUAUCAGGAGGAACACCGGUGGCGAAGGCGGAUCUCUGGGCCAUUACUGACNCUGAGGANCGAAAGCGUGGGGAGCGANCAGGAUUAGAUACCCUGGUAGUCCACGCCGUAAACGUUGGGAACUAGGUGUUGGCGACAUUCCACGUCGUCGGUGCCNCACUAACGCAUUA
rnacentral:rRNA from 1 species